rnacentral:rRNA from 1 species
CCUACGGGAGGCAGCAGUCGGGAAUAUUGCGCAAUGGAGGAAACUCUGACGCAGUGACGCCGCGUGCAGGAAGAAGGUUUUCGGAUUGUAAACUGCUUUAGACAGGGAAGAUAAUGACAGUACCUGUAGAAUAAGCUCCGGCUAACUACGUGCCAGCAGCCGCGGUAAUACGUAGGGGGCAAGCGUUAUCCGGAUUUACUGGGUGUAAAGGGGGCGCAGACGGCAGCGCAAGCCAGGAGUGAAAGCCCGGGGCCCAACCCCGGGACUGCUCUUGGAACUGCGCGGCUGGAGUGCAGGAGGGGCAG